rnacentral:rRNA from 1 species
UGCCAGCCGCCGCGGUAAUACGGAGGGGGUUAGCGUUGUUCGGAAUUAUUGGGCGUAAAGGAUGCGUAGGCGGUUUUAUAAGUCUGUUGUGAAAUACCGAAGCUUAACUUCGGGGCUGCAAUGGAUACUGUAGAACUUGAAUUCGGGAGAGGUAAAUGGAAUUUCUAGUGUAGGAGUCAAAUCCGUAGAUAUUAGAAGGAACACCAGAGGCGAAGGCGAUUUACUGGAACGAUAUUGACGCUGAGGCAUGAAAGCGUGGGGAGCAAACAGGAUUAGAUA